ensembl:lncRNA
UUGCCUCAAAUAUUGUAACUUCAUUGGUGUGUGUGUGUGUGUGUGUGUGCACAUGCAAUGUAUAAAAUCUAUAUGGAAACCUCUGCCUCAGAUGACUUCAGGGCAGGCUGAAGAUGUGGUUGGUUUAAUAUUUGCCAGAUUUAAGGGUCAAAUUAUGAUUAAUUCUGGAAGAACCUUAAUCUUCCCCACUGAAGAGGGAAAUGUACACCUAUGUACAUAUUUAUAUACAUAUGUUUAUAUAUACUGUAUGUUUGUACAUUUGUAAGAGUGACCGUCAAACACAAAGCCUUUAAGCAAAAAAAUGUAGCUUCGGCUGUGCUUACAGUGUGUGUGUGUGUGUGUGUGUGUGUGUGUGUGUGUGUGUACAUGUUACAUAAUUAUGUGUGUUUAUAUAAUUAUAUACAUACACUCUGUGUGUGUGUACAUGUUACACAAUUAUAUGUGUGUUUAUAUAAUUAUAUACAUACAUAUUGUAAUACAUACAUGUUGUAAUAUAUUUCUUUGCAAUACAUAAUGGUGCUAUUGAUUAGUCCAGAUAGGCGGGACGUACAUAUUGUAAUUUUUUUUGUAAUACAUAACGGUGCUAUUGAUUAUUCGAUUAUAUAAUAUUGUCAUGCAGUUGGACUGUAUAAAAUAGUUAUCACAAAGCCUGUAAGAAGCCACCCUUAUAAAUACAAUUAUCAGACAUCUAAAAAAAAACUUCCGGGAGGGGGGGAAGGUUCCACCAGGUGACGUCAUACAAAAAAAACGCACUUCGAGGCCACGUGACGCCUCCUCCUCCCCCUCCCGCCCAAAGUCACGUGCCCGCCUCCUCCCGCCCGAAGGUUCCAAGCCCUACGCCUUCCGCCAAGAUGGCGGCCGUUGCCCGGCCUUGUUCCAGCUACAAAAAUGGCGGACUCCGCCUCCGCCUCUUAUGUUUCCGCCCCUGGCUACUGUCUCUCUUCCCCCGUGGCUUCACUUCCGUUUCCGGUUGCAGGGAGCGGCGGGAGGGGGGAGUGCACCGGAUUGGAAAAUGGCAAGGCGGCGAAGCCGGUGCGGGGCGAAGGCGGGAAUGUGAGGCCGGGCCGGGCCGUGGGACGCUGGGCUUGGAGGAGCAAUGGCCGGAGAGCUUUAGUUGAGAUAUUCCUCUCUCCAGAGAUGCUGCCAUGUAAGAAGAGAAGAGCGACGCUGACGGACCCCGAGAAGGAGGAGCUGGGUCUCCCUUCCGACGUCCAGUCCGUUCAAAUGGAGGCUUCCCUCUCAGGUGGGACUAGCCCGCUCGGCAGCUCCGGGCCACACAAGGAAGGGCAGGAAGAUACCAUUUUGAGCGAUAGGAAGGGCCUGCCUAGUCCUCCCGCCGGAAGCCUCCCCUGUUUGUCCCCUGCUCCUGCAGGAGACCAGUCUUCAUUUGAGGAUGAAACAGCGGUGCAGGCUGUUGUUCUGUCGGGAGAGACUUCCCAGAAGGGCUGCUUGGAAGGAUCGGAGCCCUCUUUGAGAAAUGUGAAGCUCUUCCUUAAAGAAGGGGCAGAUCUCUGCUCCCAGGCUCCGGAAGACCGUCAAGACUGCAAGAGUUCUCCAUCCUCAGAGUUCCCUGUGGAUAAGAAGGAAGAGAAACUAGACUGGAAAGGUAAGCCAGGGGCAGGUGCACCUGUGGGAAGAAGUGGGGAGGGAGAAGUGGCUUUGGUUCCUUAUCUCAGCUUUUCAGGUGUCGGAUUACAAGGUCUAUCAUCCCCAGCCAGCCUAGUGGCGAUCGGGGAUCAUGAGAGUUGUGGGCCAACAACAUCGGGGGAUCUUGAGACUGGAAAACGCACCUGAACAACAGCUUGUCCAUCAUCCUUCAUGGUAUUUAAAUGAAAAAGUAAGCCAAAAAUUUCAUGAUCCAGUUUGAGGCCAUACUUGGAAGGGAGCCGAUGGGUGCAAUCAUACCCUAAAUCUCCCGUAUCUCCCUAUAUAAACCUUCAUGGAGUUUAAGAUCAUUCAGAGGAGGCCUUCCUCUUGGCCCCAUUGCCGGUGCAGUCAUAGCUGAUGGGGGACACAGGAGAGGGCCUUCUCUGUGUCAGCUCCCACGUUACGGAAGGCUCUCUCUCCUGAGGUCAGGCUGGCCAUUGUCCUGUCCUUCCGCCGACAGCUGGAGACCCACUUUUUUAGCCAGACUUUUAACAAUCAUGCCUUUUAAAAGUUCAAACCGUUUUUAACGUUUACUUCCUUUGGAAUGAUUCACUUGUCUUUUGAUUAGCCUAUCGUUUAAUUGCCGUUUUAAUGUUUAACUUGUUAUGCUUUUAAUCCUUUUCGAUAUGGGAAGCCGCCUUGGGGCCCUUGAUCCGGAGAAAGUUGGCCUAAAAAUAAAGUAGAUGGUAAAUAAAUAAAAUAAAUUUGU